ensembl:snoRNA C/D box small nucleolar RNA (snoRNA); guides 2'-O-methylation of small subunit (SSU) rRNA at position U578
UUCAUAUGAUGAUUAUAACAAAAACAAAAGCUGGAAUUACUGGCUGAACGAGUAUAUGUUGAUACGUUUUUGCACUAUCCUGACCUAG